rnacentral:rRNA from 1 species
CGGACGGGUGAGUAAUGUCUGGGAAACUGCCUGAUGGAGGGGGAUAACUACUGGAAACGGUAGCUAAUACCGCAUAACGUCGCAAGACCAAAGAGGGGGACCUUAGGGCCUCUUGCCAUCGGAUGUGCCCAGAUGGGAUUAGCUAGUAGGUGGGGUAACGGCUCACCUAGGCGACGAUCCCUAGCUGGUCUGAGAGGAUGACCAGCCACACUGGAACUGAGACACGGUCCA